ACGGGUGAGUAAUGUCUGGGAAACUGCCUGAUGGAGGGGGAUAACUACUGGAAACGGUAGCUAAUACCGCAUAACGUCGCAAGACCAAAGAGGGGGACCUUCGGGCCUCUUGCCAUCAGAUGUGCCCAGAUGGGAUUAGCUAGUAGGCGGGGUAAUGGCUCACCUAGGCGACGAUCCCUAGCUGGUCUGAGAGGAUGACCAGCCACACUGGAACUGAGACACGGUCCAGACUCCUACGGGAGGCAGCAGUGGGGAAUAUUGCACAAUGGGCGCAAGCCUGAUGCAGCCAUGCCGCGUGUAUGAAGAAGGCCUUCGGGUUGUAAAGUACUUUCAGCGAGGAGGAAGGCAUUAAGGUUAAUAACCUUGGUGAUUGACGUUACUCGCAGAAGAAGCACCGGCUAACUCCGUGCCAGCAGCCGCGGUAAUACGGAGGGUGCAAGCGUUAAUCGGAAUUACUGGGCGUAAAGCGCGCGCAGGCGGUCUGUCAAGUCGGAUGUGAAAUCCCCGGGCUCAACCUGGGAACUGCAUUCGAAACUGGCAGGCUAGAGUCUUGUAGAGGGGGGUAGAAUUCCAGGUGUA
rnacentral:rRNA from 1 species